rnacentral:lncRNA from 10 species
GUGGCUGGCACAAAGAGACGAUGGAGCUGCCGUUUUGAACAUGCCUAGUCCCAGUGUCUGAGGCGCAUGGCCCCGGGAGAGGAGGAGAAUGGGACGGUGGUUCAGAUCUGCUGAUGUAGCUGUGGUCAGUCACUGGGGAGAAUAGGCCUGUGGAUUUCUGCUCCUCUGAGAUGGAUCCAUCACUGACUACUGAACUUGUUUUCUCAUUGGCUCAACUUAAGAAGGUUCUAGAGGAUCAAGGACGUGAAACAACCAAAACCAAAGAGCAGCUGGAGACCACUUGCCAGUGAUUAGCACGAGCUUCUGGACCAGCAGCUUGCCCCGUGACGUCUGUUCUCUGAUGAAUUGAUGAUCUGGAGACUUUAAUAUGGGAUUUAUGAUGGCUAAAGAGCAUUACCUACCCAAGAGGAACCUUUAAUCCAGGGAACUGACUUCUUCCUCCUCAUGGUCCACUUGAAAUUCCAGGAAAAGGAACAGAUGUGCAAGGAAUUGCAGCCUGGAGAAACAUAGUGUAUUUGGAGACUUGCAUGUAAAUGGAUAAGUAGGUGUAGGAGGAGAAGCUGGGUCACAUUUUCCUAAAUUUUAUUCCACAAAACACUAGUUCUGUGAGACGCUCUAUGGAAAUUGGUCCCAUGAUCAGUACAUUUGGGGCAUGCUGCAUGUUGUAUUCCCUGUUGUCUUAUAUUGGAUUUCCUAAAAAUAGACUCUGAGGUGGAGACUUAUGUGCAGAAGGUCUCUUGGCGAAUGCUCCAGGGAGGCGUGCGUGUAAGGAAGUGAGACAGACCCACCUCAGGCCCCUGGGACUUCCACUGGCCAGACGCCCUGUGCCUACUUGUGUCAUGGGAUACAGGGCCCAUCUCUUCCCAUCUCCACACUCUGACCACACGCUAGUAGCUUGAAAUCAGCCAUGGUGCAACUAUUGGCAUCACAAAAAUGGACAAAUGCUUCAAACUGGGGCCUGACUUAUUGUUUUGUUGAUUGCCAGGCUUAAAAAGUGAUGGAAAGGAUGCUAAUAAUGCAUAUUAAACCAAAAAAGUGCGUCAUGUCUGUAGCUGUGACAUUGUGAAUAGCACAAGCAUUGAGGUUACAUGCUUCUGAUAUUUGAAAACCCUUAUUGGAUUCAACAAAGAAUUCACUCAUGUCAUUGUCUAUCAGGUGAAGCUCUGAUGCACAUUUUUUGCUUUCACUUUUGCCUUAUUCAUUAAUAUAAACAGAAUGUCAAUCAAC